rnacentral:tRNA from 1 species
GCCGAAGUGGUGGAACUGGCAGACACGCUGUGUUCAGGGCGCAGUGGGUGCAAGCUCGUGCGGGUUCGAAUCCCGCCUUCGGCACCA